rnacentral:rRNA from 1 species
UGUAGCGGUGAAAUGCGUAGAGAUCUGGAGGAAUACCGGUGGCGAAGGCGGCCCCCUGGACAAAGACUGACGCUCAGGUGCGAAAGCGUGGGGAGCAAACAGGAUUAGAUACCCUGGUAGUCCACGCCGUAAACGAUGUCUACUUGGAGGUUGUGCCCUUGAGGCGUGGCUUCCGGAGCUAACGCGUUAAGUAGACCGCCUGGGGAGUACGGCCGCAAGGUUAAAACUCAAAUGAAUUGACGGGGGCCCGCACAAGCGGUGGAGCAUGUGGUUUAAUUCGAUGCAACGCGAAGAACCUUACCUGGUCUUGACAUCCACAGAACUUUCCAGAGAUGGAUUGGUGCCUUCGGGAACUGUGAGACAGGUGCUGCAUGGCUGUCGUCAGCUCGUGUUGUGAAAUGUUGGGUUAAGUCCCGCAACGAGCGCAACCCUUAUCCUUUGUUGCCAGCGAUUAGG